rnacentral:lncRNA from 1 species
GCACGUGUUGGUUUAAUCUAUUCAUAUCUUUAUUUAUGUUUACAUCGCUUAUAUGGUCAUCUGAGGUCAAAUUGAUAGUUAAUUAGAUGGCGUCUUGACUAAAAUACACACAAAACGAACCUAAAUAUUAUCUACACCAUGCUCUGUAAAUUGUUUACUUUAGACUUUUGAUAGAUUGGAUAAAUGUUUUACAUUGUUAUAAAUCAAAUAUGAGAAUUUGAGUCAAAUCGGUGACCAUGAAUUUGACAGCUAGUGCCCUUUUAAGUAUUGCUUGGUAAAUCCAACAUGUAAUCGAUUAGUAAAUAUUCACUGAGUUGUCAUCCCUAGUAUUUAUGCAUCCUUUGUCAUGUGUAAAUCUCUCAAACAUUUUAGAAAAGUAACGUGCAGUGAAAAAAGAAUAGUUCUAAUGUAAUGUAACCCUUGCAGACGAUGCAGCUGAGAAAGAAGGUCAUCAAAGCUCCCAAAGGGCAACAUAGAUUUGGAAGACUUUUAUACAUUAGGCCGAU